rnacentral:rRNA from 1 species
AGGACGAACGCUGGCGGCGCGCUUAACACAUGCAAGUCGAACGUGAAGCUGGAGCUUGCUCCGGUGGAAAGUGGCGAACGGGUGCGUAACACGUGAGCAACCUGCCCCCGAAGACUGGGAUAACACCGGGAAACCGGUGCUAAUACCGGAUACCUUCUUCCGAUCGCAUGGUUGGAUGAAGAAAUGGAUUCCGCUUCGGGAUGGGCUCGCGGCCUAUCAGCUUGUUGGUGAGGUAACGGCCCACCAAGGCGACGACGGGUAGCUGGUCUGAGAGGACGACCAGCCACACUGGGACUGAGACACGGCCCAGACUCCUACGGGAGGCAGCAGUGGGGAAUCUUGCUCAAUGGGCGAAAGCCUGAAGCAGCGACGCCGCGUGCGGGAUGAAGGCCCUCGGGUUGUAAACCGCUUUCAGCAGGGACGAAAUUGACGGUACCUGCAGAAGAAGGCCCGGCCAACUACGUGCCAGCAGCCGCGGUAA